rnacentral:rRNA from 1 species
CCCUUAGAUGUUCUGGGCCGCACACGCGCUACACUGAAGGAGGCAGCGUGUACUCCUGGAUCGAAAGAUUUGGGUAACCCGCGAAUCUCCUUCGUGCUAGGGAUUGAGGUUUGCAAUUAUCCUUCAUGAACGAGGAAUUCCCAGUAAGUGCAAGUCAUAAGCUUGCGCUGACUACGUCCCUGCCCUUUGUACACACCGCCCGUCGCUACUACCGAUUGAAUGAUUUAGUGAGUACUUCGGACUGGGACCGAUGCGGCUUUCGGGCUGCGUCGGUAUUCUGGAAAGAUGUCCAAACUGUAUCAUUUAGAGGAAGUAAAAGUCGUAACA